rnacentral:ncRNA from 2 species
CCUUGGCUCACCGGGGUGCCCAACGGGCUGAGAUCACACCCGUCGAACCUGAUCCGGUUAGCACCGGCGAAGGGAGGAGCAGACGCUCGAGA